GAUACUGCAGAAACCCUGACCCUGAAAAGACACACAAAAACCUGGCUCUGCUAAAUGAUCUAAAGAUGAAGCCUUUUCCCUGCAGCUUUCUCUUUUGUGUUUCGCUGCUGUUUUCUGACGUUGCACAUGCAACCUACCACCUCAAAGCCGGAGAUCUCCAGCUGAAAACCGCACAAAGUUAUGCUCAGACCAGACACAAUGCUCAACCAGUACUCAGGACCCUGAAUAUAGCAAAGACAGACUCUCCGUGCAGGAGUCGCCCCCUGGACCUGGUCUUCAUCAUUGACAGCUCUCGCAGUGUUCGUCCUGCUGAGUUUGAGAAGGUCAGAAUCUUCCUGGCCAACAUGGCGGACACCCUCGAUGUGGGCUCAGAUGCGACAAGAGUGGCUGUGGUCAACUAUGCCAGUACAGUCAAGAUAGAGUUCCUGCUCAAGAACCACUUCAACAAACUUAACUUAAAGAAAGCCAUCGCCCGAAUUGAGCCCCUUGCGACUGGCACCAUGACCGGCCUCGCCAUCAAGACAGCAAUGAAAGAAGCCUUCACCGAGCAGUCUGGAGCUCGACCUCGCUCCGGGAACAUCUCCAAGGUGGCCAUCAUUGUGACUGAUGGGAGGCCUCAAGACCAUGUGGAAGAAGUGUCCGCUGAGGCCCGGGCCUCAGGCGUAGAGAUCUACGCUGUGGGCGUGGACCGUGCAGACAUGCAGUCCCUACAGCUGAUGGCCAGUCUCCCUCUGGAGGAACACGUCUUCUAUGUGGAGACCUACGGCGUUAUCGAGAAGCUCACCUCCAAGUUCAGGGAAACCCUGUGCGGUCUGGACCCUUGUGCCACGGGACAUGACUGCGAGCACAUUUGCAUCAACAGCAAUGCAUCCUUUUACUGCAAGUGCCAGAUCGGUUACAUCUUGAAUGCAGACAAGAAAACAUGCUCCCCAAAACAGGCGAGGGCGGAGGUGGUGGAGGAUCCCUGCAAAUGCGAGGCCAUGCUGGUUUUCCAGAGGCAGACGCAGGCAACCAUCCAGCAGCUCACAGCCAAGCAUAUCCUUCCUGUUGUUUCAAAUGGCAGACAGUGUUUUAAACAGUCUGCUGCACGUGUGACCUGAGCUGACCUGCAGAGCUUAAUGACGUGUCCAGCCACUUUUAUUGUUUUUUUUUUUCUUUUUCCUUGACUGGUCAAACUAGCUGACAUAUCCGGGAGAAUAGAGCAUCUGGAGAACACGUUGGGCCGUGCAUGAACCUUUGCACACUGGAGCAGACCACUUCUGUGGGCUACUGCGUUCACGGACAUCAUCUGCAACUUCAUCAGAACAGAUUUUGUCCAUCAACUAAAGCUGUGACUCAAAAUUCAGCAAUUUGCAUCACAUGUUAUGUUUAAAAACUAUUGUUUAUGGAACUAAUAUUAAGCUUUAUGAUUUAAAAUGAAAAUGUUAAUUUCUUUAGUCAAAUGUUUGACUAAAGAUCUCAUCUUUUUUAUAUAUAUUUUUUUGUGCAAAAGUAUAUGUACAAAAAUAUGUACAUAGAACACUUUAUGCUUACUCAGUGAAGGAUGAAAUAUUUUUUAAGAAAAGUAACCCAUUAUAUGUUAAAAUAGCAUUAAGUUAGGUUUAUACAUAAAACAUAACCAAGCAUUUCUGUUUUAUAUAUUAUG